rnacentral:rRNA from 1 species
GUACCCUGGUAGUCCACGCCGUAAACGAUGUCGACUUGGAGGUUGUGCCCUUGAGGCGUGGCUUCCGGAGCUAACGCGUUAAGUCGACCGCCUGGGGAGUACGGCCGCAAGGUUAAAACUCAAAUGAAUUGACGGGGGCCCGCACAAGCGGUGGAGCAUGUGGUUUAAUUCGAUGCAACGCGAAGAACCUUACCUACUCUUGACAUCCAGAGAAUUUAGCAGAGAUGCUUUGGUGCCUUCGGGAACUCUGAGACAGGUGCUGCAUGGCUGUCGUCAGCUCGUGUUGUGAAAUGUUGGGUUAAGUCCCGCAACGAGCGCAACCCUUAUCCUUUGUUGCCAGCGGUUCGGCCGGGAACUCAAAGGAGACUGCCAGUGAUAAACUGGAGGAAGGUGGGGAUGACGUCAAGUCAUCAUGGCCCUUACGAGUAGGGCUACACACGUGCUACAAUGGCAUAUACAAAGAGAAGCGACCUCGCGAGAGCAAGCGGACCUCAUAAAGUAUGUCGUAGUCCGGAUUGGAGUCUGCAACUCGACUCCAUGAAGUCGGAAUCGCUAGUAAUCGUAGAUCAGAAUGCUACGGUGAAUACGUUCCCGGGCCUUGUACACACCGCCCGUCACACCAUGGGAGUGGGUUGCAAAAGAAGUAGGUAGCUUAACCUU